rnacentral:RNase_P_RNA from 1 species
GGCAGAGGGAGCCCGGCCUCCGCUACACGCGUAGUGAGGAAAGUCCCCCCACCGUCCGGGCGGGCGACUGGGCGCAAGCCCAGAGCGGGAGACCGCUGGCUCUGGAACAGAAACGAGACCCCUCGGCGCGAGCGAUGAGACCUGCGAACCGAACCGCGAGGUGAGGAAGCUAACCGGUCGAGCGUCGACCGCCGAGAACGGAUGGAACGGCGAAUCCUCGCCGGUGCAAGCCCGCCGCGCUAUGGUAGCCCGGACGCUGCGGCGGGUGCUCAGCCGAAUGCCGGGCCGAACAGAAGGGGGCUUACUCCCCUCCAGCC